UACGUAGGCAGCGAGCGUUGUUCGGAAUUACUGGGCGUAAAGAGUGUGUAGGCGGUGCUCUAAGUUCGGUGUGAAAUCUCCUGCUUAACUGGGAGGGUGCGCCGGAAACUGGAGUGCUCGAGCGUGGGAGAGGAAAGCGGAAUUCCUGGUUGUAGCGGUGAAAUGACGUAGAUAUCAGGAGGAACACCUGUGGUGUAGACGGCUCUCUGGACCAUAACUGACGCUGAGACACGAAAGCGUGGGUAGCAAACAGG
rnacentral:rRNA from 1 species